UACGAAGGGGGCUAGCGUUGCUCGGAAUUACUGGGCGUAAAGCGCACGUAGGCGGAUUGUUAAGUCGGGGGUGAAAUCCUGGAGCUCAACUCCAGAACUGCCUUCGAUACUGGCGAUCUCGAGUUCGGGAGAGGUGAGUGGAACUGCGAGUGUAGAGGUGAAAUUCGUAGAUAUUCGCAAGAACACCAGCGGCGAAGGCGGCACUCUGGGCUGGUACUGACGCUGAGGAGCGAAAGCGUGGGUAGCGAACAGG
rnacentral:rRNA from 1 species